AUGGAUUAAAUAACUAAUGAGAAUUACGGAGUGCACUUGUGAUGAACACCAGGUGUUGAAUGUUAAGUGUUGAAUCAUUAUAUUAUACACUUGAAGCUAAUAUUAUACUAUGUUAACUAGAAUUUAAAUAAAAACUUAAAAAAAUAAAUGUUAUUAAAUAAAAGCUGAUUUGGUAGUCAAAAAAAAUUUUUGUAAUGCAGACAUUUUGAGGUGGGUGAAAGGGAAGCCUACAAAAUUCAGUAACUGGGAAGUACAAUUGUUUGAGGUGAUGGCCAACCCCUAACUCAGUUGCAAGCAGACAGAGAGCAUUGGAAGUGAAACCAAACGAAGUUUAAGUAAAGAGAUCUGGUUGUUAAAGUCACCAAAAAUGAGGGAAGGAGCAGAUGAGAACAAGAGAAUAUGUUCUCAUAUGAAACAUUAUUUCCAGGUAUGUCCGUGAAGGUGUUCCCCGCUCAUCUGAAUUGGUGGAUUCAGUAAAGUAGACUGCCCCGCCUCCACUGUGGCUUGGAACACAAAAGCAAUGCUUGAAGGAGCAGUAGCCAUCUUGCCUGAGGCUGAGAGUCUUCAAGUACCAACUAAUUUGUUCUGGAGAUGCAAUUGCAAAUCCCAUGAGCUUAUGUAGCCUGGCACUACUAACCUAUUUAAAACCUGACUCUGUUUUUGUUUGGAUUGUGUAGUCCCACAUACAUCACCUCUUGGUUUGUUUCCCUGAACCAAUAAGAAGAACUUUUCUUAUAAUGUCAACUCAAUCUAUAUCAACCCUCUAAAAAAAUCAUAUAUGUCAUUCCCCAUUUCGAAGAGUUUUUAUUAUCUGAGCUGCUAACAACAUGUAAGUUGUAAGUACAAAGUUUACACCAAGAGAAAGUGGAUUGAAAAUACUUAUUUACAUAUGUGUAGAAUACACAUGUAAUGCAACUGUGAUUUGGAAUGCCAUGGGCCUAUCACAGAGUGGAUACAAAUAUAAGUGUUAUCAACUAUUUAGCAUAUAAAUAAAAAACAUUAGAAUGGAUAGUAAAAAGUCAUGGUUAAUAAUGAAUGUUCCGCAUAAAUCUUUUAAUAUUUCUUAAAUAUAUUGGGCAUUUAUAAUGAACCUUUCUUUAACUUGAGAAAUUGUGUCUGCUUUCAAAAAAAUGCCUAAUUCCCAUUUUGUUAUAACAGUUUUUAAAUUCUGAUGUAACAGAAAAAUUAAAAAACCCUGUAAGAGAUCUAAAUGUCUCAGUGUGUA